GACGAACGCUGGCGGCGUGCUUAAUACAUGCAAGUCGAACGGAAAGGCCCUGCUCUUGUGGGGCGCUCGAGUGGCGAACGGGUGAGUAACACGCGAGUAACCCGCCCCUGACUUUGGGAUAACUUCAGGAAACAGGGGCUAAUACCGGAUAGGAGCUCCUGCUGCAUGGGGGGGGAUGGAAAGAUUCGGCGGUUGGGGAUGGACUCGCGGCUUAUCAGCUUGUUGGGGAGGUAGUGGCUUACCAAGGCUUUGACGGGUAGCCGGCCUGAGAGGGUGACCGGCCACAUUGGGCCUGAGAUACGGCCCAGACUCCUACGUGAGGCAGCAGUGGGGAAUAUGGCACAAUAGGCGGAAGCCUGAUGCAGCAACGCCGCGUGCGGGAUGCCGGCCUUCGAGUUGUAAACCGCUUUCGCCUGUGACGAAGCGUGAGUGACGGUAAUGGGUAAAGAAGCACCGGCUAACUACGUG
rnacentral:rRNA from 1 species